UCCGUCUGGCACAAAGUACAGACUUACUGAGCCACAAGUCAUUUGGACAUGUCAUUUGGACCUCAACUCAAUCAAUUGUGUUUGAUAUUUUGCUUCGGAGUUGGUCACUUGGGUCGCCAAUUCACACAUCUUAACAAAAAUCUUAAAAAAAUUGAGAUUGCAAGAGAUGAAACAUUGGAGAUGUAUGAUAAAAAAGACCCAAUUAAGCGAUGCUUAUUUAACCUGCACCAGUUUCUUAGCUGUACGCCGAAGAUGACUACUCUUACGCUUGGUAGCUUCUGCCUGUUUCUGGAUCCAGAACAAACUAUACUAGCAAGGCUUCCAACGAUCAUGGAGAAGAUGAAAACACUUAGGUUGUGUUCACUUGGAUUGGAGUGAAUGGAAUGGAGGGAGAAUGAAAUGAAUUUUGUACUCAAAAAUGGUGUUGAUCAAAGAAAAUGUAUACAAUUUUCAUUCAUUCAAUCAUUCCAUUCUUACUAUUUUAACUAGAAUUAUAUCCCACAUGUUUUGGAAGGAAUGCUCAUUCCAUCUCUCCAUCAUAUUUUUUUACAAUCUUUAUCACAAAAAAAUUUAACUCAUUCAUAUUUAGUCACUAUUAGGCAUUAGCUCAUACUUUCUUCUUUCUCCAUAAAAUUUCUAUAUAAUUUUUCAUUACAUUCUCCCCUCAUUCCAUUCCAUCCAAGUGAACACAGCCUUAUACUACACGAUGUUAAAUUUCAUGAUUUGUGUCAUAUAUCCAAUGUGCUGUGCCUCAUCAAGAGUUCCCCUAACUUGCAAACCCUUAAGAUAUCAGUGGAGCCUCCAAGGAGUCCUGCAGACUUUAUAAAGCUGAGCAGUACCUGGAAUCACCAGAUUGCGGCAGGAAGCUUGUCCUAAACCAACUCCAUACCGUGGAAAUAGGCAGGGCUGUGAGAUCAAGGGCUAAGUUGCUUUUCCUAAAUCUUUUGCAAGCAUCUUCCCCCUCACUCCAGAGAUUGUACUGGCAUCCUUAACGGCUAAGUUAGUUACUCUACCUAAAUCUUAUGCGCGGAUGUCCCUUCACUUCAAAGGUUGUGCUGGCAUCCUUUCACUUGCCAAAACACUGUCAACUAUUUCAUAUGAAUAGAAUUUGACAUUUUUUUCCUUUAUUCUUCUUGAACCAUAAAAAUUAUGCUUUACUUUAAGCCUGUGCAAUUUUAUGCUUCUGCUAAUUAUACAAAUUAAACAGAUAUUUAUCUUUGUUUGGAUUUUGUUACAAGGCUACUUCUGAAGUCAUAAAUAUGAGCCGGUCUACAUAGGAUCAAGUAUGCCAAAUAUGUAGCUUCAUUUCAUGUUUGAUGAAAUUACUAAAUCAGUUUGUUUUUAUUUGAAUUUUACAGAUUUUUGUGCAUAAAAGAGUCAAUUGUGGUAAAAUGGAAUAUGAUAGCACACUAUGGCCUCAAGAGACUAUCUCUUAAUUGUUUAAGAUAUGGAGGAUUCUCUCAUACUUUCAAAACUUCAUGCACUCUGUGAUUUUACUUAGAUUUUACAAUCUCUUUUAUUUUUAUCGGGACAUUUUGCUAAUCUUCUUCACCUCUGGAACUCUUGGGCUCCCUUCUUUUCAUAGUAGGGGUUGCAUGCAAGUUUAUAGAUAUAGUUUUUGUAGAAUCUAUGAACUCAAAUUAUGAUUGGGAUGUAUUUAUUCCAGUACAUCAAGUCAUCAACAGUUUGUAUGAUAUUUUAGGUACUUUUUAAAUUCAAUUUUCGAAACUUGAAAAACAAAACUUGCCCUGAAUUAAAAUUCAGCCUUUUGCAAGUGUAAGACAUUAAAUUUAAAUUGAGAUUUUUUUCAGGGAGCAAGGGAUACAUACAUGUUGCCUCGCAGGGUUCCCCAUGUCAGAUGAACAUCCUUAAGUUGGACAAGAACCAGUUAUCAUGUCAGAUUCCUCAUUUGCUAUUUCUAGACCAAAUUAAGGUGAUACCAAUUGUUUUAACGGGCCAGUUUUGCAUUAGGCUAUCAUUAUAAAUUAUUCUUAUGCAGGUGAUUGAUUGAUCUCAUAAAGGCUGUAAAAACUGAAGCAAAGUUAGUGUAAUUGUAAAUUAUUAUUUUGGAGGGGAACUUUUGGUUCUGGUAAAGCUCAGAUUAAAUAAUUAUUUCAUCGGAUUAACAUGCCAUUAUUCAUAAGAAAUUUAGCACUACUAGCUACUAGAUAGAGCUCAUACUCGAUGGUUUUUGUUGCUCUUUUUUAAAAUAUAAGCAAGAAACUAGGGUGAUGAUGCUCGUGCAGAAUAUUUAGUUCAUCGGGCUUAAUUUUUUUAGAAAGAGAUUAAAAUUCAACGAUGCUUGUACAUAAUUAUAUCUCAUUUUGAUUUAUACUUUAAAUUUAACCUGGGAGUUCUUUGACACAGUUUAUUCCACCUAUGCAGCCACAAAGCACACUUCUCCUCUUAACCCUUCAUCUCUCCAUAUUUUACUCCUCUGACUCCCCCAUAUUUGUUCGUCAACCUCUUUUCUCUUUAAAGCAAAUUAGAUCACUGUCGAGUUUCAGUUAUUGUGAUAGAUAUGUGCUCAAGAAAUAUGAGCUGUCUUCCAUGUAGCUAGAAUAUAAAGUAUGCCACACAGAGUUUGUAACCUGUCAUGAUGGAUUCUAACUAUUCCCUUAAAGUCUUAAACUACCAGAGUCCUUAUUGUACUUGUACAGGUGGUGUCAUCUGUAUAUCCAUAUAAUUUAUUUUGAGAGUGUUAAAGGGUUAGUAGAAUGUAUAGUGCUAAUAUACAUUUUUAUAUUUUCUUUCCUUAUAUUUUUUUCAGAAAAGAUAUAAAGAUAAAGGGCUUGCGACAUGUCAGUGACUGAUCAAAAUUGCUUUAAAUCUUUCGGAAACUCUUCUGUUGGUGUACUGUUGUUGGUGUCCGCAUAAUAAUUAAUUUUAUUCAGCCUCUUUUCUUAACAUCAUAAUUUAAAACUCAGCACUGCUAUUUUGGAAGAGUAUUAGUUCUUAAUGUAUUUAUCUUUACAACCACAGAUAGAUGAGGUUAUCCAUGACAUAAUUGCAGAGCUGACUAAUGCAAAGAAGGAGAUAGAUGAGGUGAUCCAUAACAGAACUGCAGAGCGACUAAUACAAAGAAGUUAUUAUUAGACGCAUGGAAAGCUCGCAUUCAAAACACAACAAAUGUUAUAUUUUCUGCAUCAAUUUCUGCAAGUCAGAGACAGAUGCUUCAAGGUGGGUCAAGGUUUGUCCGUAGAUGCCAAAGCACAGAUAUUGGCUCUCCAGCACUGGAUUGGAGCUGUAAUCUUGUUAUUUCUUUAUUUUCUGCCUUGUUUUUCAAUCUAUGACUUCCUGCUGAUUUCUUACUGGCCAUAUAUUUAUAUACUAGAUUGAUCCGCGGCACCGAUAUAGCUCAGCUCAGCUCACUUGCAUAUUUUGAAUUAUGUGACUUUUGGAUUCCUAAAUGAAGAUGGCACCAAUGCAUUUUCUAUAAAAGCUUAACUCCGGGUUUUUCAUUUUUUCCCCUCAAAGGCUGCUCAUGACCUACAAUUUAUUGAUCACUAUGAUCCACAUUUAUUAUGAAAUGAUUACAAAGUAAACGGAAGUAAAUCUGUAGUUCAUAAUUUUCCAGGUUAGAUAUGGGGAUGCCAAAGAUGUUGAUCUUCGAAAAUGCCCCAGAUCAAAGCUUUGCCAAUAGUGUAUUAAGUACCUCAGAACUGUAUGUGUAUUGAGUGUAUUCUCUUCUUUGCGUUACCUGAUUGUGUUCCAUUUAGAAGAAAAUGUGACUGGACUACCAUUUCUAUUUUGGACAUUAUUACUCACUGUAUAUCAUGGUUCAUCUUUCUGCAAUAAUCAGCAAGAGAGAGAACACUAUGAAUAUGUUGUUGAGGAGAAAAUAGUGCAUCAACAGACUGGAACUUUUCUAAUUACAAACAACGGAUUACCAGGGGCAAAAUGGAUAUCUGUGAUGAGUACCUGUCUGAAGCUCGAUGCUGGUGAAAUGAGAUCCUAACGAAGAUGAAAAAUAUGUAGUGAACUUCUGGUUCGAAAUUCGAUUUAUAUUUAUUGUUACUCAAUCGUUUCAUGCUGUCAUCUUUUACAUUCAGAAAAAGAAAGAAGGUUUUCAUGGUUGAAGCUUCCUCGCUGGAAGGGCUUUAGCUGCUGCUGGAAGGCUUGUGGAGUUGUGGUAAAUAAUUGAACACUUAAGGUAUAUUUAAUUAUGUAUCUGAUCCCGUUCAAAUAUCUAUUCAGUCUAUCUCGUCAUACAAUGGACAUUACCGGCCAACUGAUGAAAGGCUUGACAGUUUUCUGCAUUUCUCAAGGAUAAUGGAGUGAACGUUGAUGAAGUUGAAUACAUUGUCAUCGGAUACACAAAGCAUGUGAAGAUGCUUAAAAUAAUGACAGAAAAUUAGGUAGAGCUGGUAGUGUUGAAUAUACAAUCUCAGAGUCCCUCCAACCUGAUAACAUCCCCAAGGUGGAGGAUACAAUUCCAGUACAUGAAGAAACUGAAGUGUUUGAACCGAAAAAUAAUUACAGCAAAACUCUCUCGGGUGGUCUUCAGAGUCCUGUUGCUAACGUGCCAAAGAAGUCAAUACUAGAAAGAAUCAAUUCCAAGAAGGCUGCAAAGUCAUAUCAGUUAGGACACCACCUCGCACUAAAAUGGUCGACAGGUGCUGGCCCGAGAAUUGGCUGCAUUGCUGACUAUCCUGCAGAAAUAAGACCUUGGAGUUGACUAGCCUAUCUCCAAAGUCCCCACUCACACCACCAGUCUGUAGGCGAAAAGGUGCUCUUGCUUCACCCUUGCUCUCUCCUUGACAAAGCUGCAUCAGUCAACUUGCAUAGUUCUUUGAGUUGCAAUGGCUUAACUUUCGCAGAGGACUUUAUAGAAGCCGCCCAGCCACUGAAGUUCUUUUCCUUUGCGGUUAAGAAGGCUGUGACAAGAAUUCCAUUGAUGCCGGGGAAUUAUGGAAGCACUCUCACGUUUAGAGAGAGACGAUGCCUUUGUCAUUACGAGAACUGUGAGACUAUGUAGUUCAACUCCGCUUAGUUACAUUGUUUAAAACAAAUUGCAGCAAAUUAAUAAUAAGAAUCAAUUUCGGUAGUCCUCUUUCAAUACGUUGAAAAUGUUAGAUAAAUCUUUGCUGUACUUUUACAUCAGCUUUUUUAUU